rnacentral:lncRNA from 1 species
GAUUUAUCUGACUUUAUUGAUGGGCAAGUUUUACAGCUAAUUUAUGUGCAACAGAAUGUUCUAGCUCUGAAGUGGCAUGCCUUCUUUGGGCAUGAAAAGCAGCACCUGCCUUGAAAAUAUUUCAGAUCACAAUCUCGACCUCAUUCUCUGGGGCACAGCUAAGAAGAUGCGAUCUGGGUGCCGGAAAGGCCCUGGGCUAAGCCCUCGGGGAAAAGCUGGUUUUCCCCAGAGGUGACCCUGUGACCUGCUUCUAUGUCAAGGGGGAAUAUUUCUCCUUUCAGUUGAGAAAUCAGAUUAAGCACCAUAAUUUUCACAAUGAAAUUUCAGCCUUAUAAGCCCUGGUCUGCUCUCUAGAACACAUAGACCAUUCAGAACCAAUGAAACAGAAAACCAGAAUUUUAAGACCUCAUCAGGAAAUACAAUCUUGAACAUGUGUGCUCAGUCCCUGUCACUGUGACCAGCUGACAAAUAUUUAUUUGUGCAUGUGGCAUAAAGGUAGGCAUGGUCUGUGCUCGGUAUUGUGUCUAUUCCAGUGGCAGAGAUGAACACUAGGCACUUUCCUAUUUAUUUAUUGUGAUGGAAUUUUGCUCUUGUUGCUCAUGCUGGAGUGCAAUGGCGGGAUCUCGGCUCACCGCAACCACAACCACCUCCACCUUCCAGGUGCAAGCGAUUCUCCCGCCUCAGCCUCCCGCGUAGCUGAGGUUCGAGAAUCACUUGAACCUGGGAGACAGAGAUUGCAGUGAGCGGAGAUCACGCCACUGCACUCCAGCCUUGGCGACAAAGCAAGACUCUGACUCAAAAAAAUAAAAAAAUAAAAAUAAUAAAAUAAGAAGUCUGGGUAACUGAUUGCACAAGGCAGAUAUUAAAAGGGCAGUUCCUGGGCAGGCACAGUGGCUCAUGGAUAAUUAUUUCCUGUCAGUCUUUCCCAACUAAACCGUGAGUUCCAGUAUGUCUGGCAGCACGUCUGUCUUGUUCUUGGUGUAUUCCCAUUACUGAAUCCCCACCAACCAGCCCAAAUAAGGCCCUGGCACAAAGUAAGCUCUCCAUUUUUGUAGAAUGAAUGAGUGAAUAAAUGGAGGACACUCAAGCCUCAUGUUUUCUCUUUCUGACACAUACCUGUGCUCCCUACGACCCCACCCUCACCAUCACACCCUUAAUAGUGGAGACUUAGUGUGGUACUGGCUUUUCAAACAGGUAUUAUGUGGCCCUAGACAGGUCAUUUCCUUCACUGAAAGUCAUCGCCUGAGUUUCAGGUGCACAACGGGGAUCAUACCUAAAAGAGAGAGAACCUCCACCUCUCAUCCUCAUAAUCUACGGAGACAGUAGUUAGGUGCAUCAUGUUUGUCUUUCUAGCAGCGUUUAGCUCCGAGAACGCCAAGACCCCGUCCGCCUGGUUCAGGGGCCUGCUCCCAUCCACAGUACCCAGGCUUGCUCCAAGCCUGGCUCACAGCAGGAGCUCAGAAACGAUUCGUUAAAUAAAUGAAGCCCUGUUCUGUGCAUUUCACAGGUGGGAAGCGAGGGUCGUGCGAGGCGGGGGCAGCAACCUGCCAGCCUCCGAGCGUAUUCUUCAGAUGCAGGCCCGCCUCCCACCUCAGCCCGCGUCCCAGAUGCCAGCCCCGAAUCCCGCGCCCGACAGGCGCUUCUUGCACAAGGAAGCAUCUUCGCAGGUGCAGCCCACGCCCUCGUCGCCCGCGUCGCAAUUCCAGGUGGAAAAGCAGGAGGUGAAGGAAGACUCCCUCUGUCUAGUGGCCAUGGGCGUGGAGGUUCCGGGGAGCUGUGUCCGCCAGACAUGGAAGUGGGGUCGACGGGCGGUAGGGGACGGCGCUAGUC